rnacentral:rRNA from 1 species
GACGAACGCUGGCGGCGUGCUUAACACAUGCAAGUCGAACGGAAAGGCCCCUUUUGGGGUCCUCGAGUGGCGCACGGGUGUGUAACACGUGAGUAACCUGCCCUUGACUUCGGGGAAACUUUAGGAAACUGGGGCUAAUACCGGCAAGGAAUCCUUGCUGCAUGGUGGGGGUUGGAAGGAUUCGGCGGUUUUGGAUGGACUCGCGUGUUAUCAGCUUGUUGGUGGGGUAGUGGCUUACCAAGGCGUUGACGGGUAGCCGGCCUGAGAGGGCGACCGGCCACAUUGGGACUGAGAGACGGCCCAGACUCCUACGGGAGGCAGCAGUGGGGAAUCUUGCACAAUGGGCGGAAGCCGGAUGCAGCAACGCCGCGGGCGGGAUGGCAGCCUUCGUGUUGUAAACCGCUUUCAGCAGGAGCGAAGCUUGUGGUGACGGUACCUGCAGAAGAAGCACCGGCUAACUACGUG